UUUUUCGUGCAAUUUGUUUCUUUUUUCCGAUGAUAGCAAUUUUCACGAUCUUUCUUUUGCUCUUAGUAUUUUCAUUUUGACAUUAUUUUCUAUUAAGACAACCAUCCCAAACUUAAAAUGUUAUUCUAUUAAAAAUCCUAACCUUAAAAUUUUGACAUGGUUAUGAUUUUCUUAUGACUACUUACUCCAAAGAGAUAAAAA
rnacentral:lncRNA from 1 species